ACUCUCGGGACGCGGCUGUGGGCUGGGCAGGAGGGAGCCAAGUCUGGGGUGCACUGGGGAGCCCAGAACCACUGCUAUGCUCUGCAAAACUCUGAGGCGCUUCCAAAAGUUUGGAGCUGGGCAUGUAUUUUACUGAUUUCUAAAAAUCGUAAGCGGUUGUUCGGGGGGAGGAGAAGGGUGUUGGGGUGACGGGGUGUCCGCGCUGGAGACUCAGCUGUGUGCGCCCUGAUUCAGACGAGGGAGGCCUUCCAGGUGGGGGUGGGCAGGGAGCUUCUGGGGAAGAAUGCAUCCUGAGGGCGGAGAGCUACAGGGUAAGGGGGCCAGGCUGUCGGCAUUAGAGGGGUGUCUGCGUUUGGCUGCAGCCCAGCCCGCAGGCUCCAGAGUCUGGGAGCCGCGAAGGAGCCGCCCUUAUCAGGCAGUAGGGCGAGCUGCCCCAGGGGACAGUCUCUGUGCUGAGGGCAUUCCUCGACCUGGGUCGUGGCGCCUACUAGCAGGGGGUUCCAGGAUUCCCAGGGCAGAGCUGUCCGGUGUGAGGUGUCCAGCUGGCUUGAGGCCUGUGGCCCUGAAGGCCGGGUGGGCCAGGAGGCUGAGAGGCAGCCACCUUUAAAGGGAGCCAGAGCAGGGAGGGAAACGGAGCUCUUCCCCUGCCGUCCUGGCGCUGUUCCUGCCAAUAGACAAGGCAGAUGUGUACAAUGAUUAUAGUCUUUUUGUUUGUUUUAAGAGACAGCCUUGCUGUGUUGCCCAGGCUGGAGUGAGUGCAGUGGCUUGUUCAUAGCUCACUGCAGCCUGGAACUCCUGGGCUCAGGGGAUCCUCCCACUUCAGCUUCCCAAGUAACUGGGACUACAGGUGUGUGCCACCAUGCCCUGCUAAUUUUUUUUUUUUUUUUUUGAGACGGAGUUUCGCUCUUGUUGCCCAGGCUGGAGUGCAAUGGCGGGAUCUCAGCUUACUGCAACCUCUGCCUCCCAGGUUCAAGCGAUUCUCCUGCCUCUCGGCCUCCCGAGUAGCUGGGAUUACAGGCAUGUGCCACCACUCCCGGCUAAUUUUAUAUUUUUAGUAAAGACGGGGUUUCUCCAUGUUGGUCAGGCUGGUUUUGAACUCCCGACCUCAGGUGAUCCGCCUGUCUCGGCCUCCCAAAGUGCUGGGAUUACAGGUGUUAGCCACUGCACCCAGCCACCCCACUAAUUUUUAAAUUAUUUAUUUAUUUAGAGACAGAAUCUCACUCUGUCACCCAGGUUGGAAUGCAGUGGCACCAUCAUAGCUCACUGCAGCCUCAACCUCCAGGGUUCCAGGGAUUCUCCUGCUUCAGCCUCCCAAGCAGCUGGGACUAUAGGCGUGGGCCAGCCCAUCAGACUAAUUUUUUUUUUCAGAUCCUCACAUCUCAGAUGAACAUCCAGCUAAUUUUAAAAAGUUUUGUAGAGAUGGGGUCUUGCUAUGUUGACCAGGCUGGUCUCGAACUCCUGGGCUCAAGCAACUCUCCUACCUCAGCCUCCCAAAGUGUUAGGAUUACAGGUGGGAGCCAUCACACCACCCAGCCUGAUUAUAACAUUUUAACUGUGGGCCAGGCACUGUGUUAAGUCUAAGUCUGCGUAUGUUCAAAGUAGCCUUUGCAACUGGUCUAUCGAGGUAGGUAUUUAUCAUUCCUGUUUUACAGAGGACUCAAAGGUAAAUGAUAUGGCAGAUGUGGUCAGUGCCCCAAUGUCUCCCGGGCACUGGGAGGUGACCUCAGACCAUUCCAUGUGUGCCUGUGGCUCCCUGUAUCUCUCUACAGGGCAUGCUCUAUGGCCCUUGGAGUGUGGGGAGUUAACACCUCAAGAGUGAUUCUCAGCUGGUGGGCGAGGGAUGGGAGUUGUAUGAAAACCCCAGGGUGCUUGCUCCUUGAUGAGACAAUUUUAUUUUUAAUUGUAGUAAAAAAAACACAUAGCAUAAAAUUUACCAUCUGAACCAUUUAUAAGUGUAUAGUACAGUAGUAUUAACUGUUUGCACCUUGUUGUGUAAUAGAACUUUUCAUCUUGCAAAACUGAAACUCUAUACCCAUUAAAUAACUCCCCAUUCCCUCUCUCUGCAGGCCCUGGCAACCACAUUCUACUUUCUGUCUGUGAAUUUGACACUUUAGGUACCUUGUAUGCAGUAUGUGUCCUUCUGUGACUGGCUUAUUUCACUGAGCAUAAUGUCCUCAAGAUUCGUCCAUGUUGUAACGUGUAUCUGAAUUUCCCUUUUUUUUUUUUGUAUUUUUAGUAGAGAUGUGGUUUCACUAUGUUGGCCAGGCUGGUCUUGAACACCUGACCUCAUGAUCCACCCGCCUCAGCCUCCCAAAGUGCUGGGAUUACAGGCAUGAGCCACUGCAUCCAGCCAGCAUUUAUCCUUUCUUUGUGUUACAAACAAUCCAGUUAUACUCUUAGUUGUCUUUAAAUGUAUAAUAUACUAUUGUUGACUGCUGUCAGUUUGUUGUGCUAUCAAAUAUUAGAUCUUAUUUAUUCUAUCUAACUAUAUUUUUGUAUCCGUUAACCAUCCCCACUCUACCCCCACCCCACUACCCUUCCCAGCCUCUGGUAACCAUCCUUUUACUCUCUAUCACCAUGAGUUCAAUUGUUGUAAUAUUUAGCUCCCACAAAUAAGUGAGGACAUGUGAAGUUUGUCUUUCUGUGCAUGGCUUGUUUCACUUAACAUAAGAACCUCCAGUUCCGUUCAUGUUGUUGCAAAUGACAGGAUCUCAUUCUUUUUUAUGGCAGAAUGGUACUCCAUUGUGUAUAUGUACCACAUUUUCUUUAUCCAAUCAUCUGUUGAUGGACACUUAGGUGGCUUCCAAAUCUUGGCUAUUGUGAACAGAGCUGCAACAAACAUGGAAGUGCAGAUAUCCUUUCAUUAUGCUGAUUUCCUUUUUUGGGGGUAUAUUUUUAGCAGUGGAAUUGCUGGAUCAUAUGGUAGUUCUAUUUUUAGUUUUUUGAGGAACCUCCAAGCUGUUCUCCCUAGUGGCUGUACUAAUUUACAUUCCCACCAACAGUGUACAAGGGUUCCCUUUUCUCCACAUCCUUGACAGCAUUUGUUAUUGCCUGUCCAAAAGACAAAAGCCAUUUUAACUGGGGUGAGAUGACCUCUCAUUGUAGUUUUGAUUUGCAUCUCUCUGAUGACCGAUAAUGUUGAGCACCUUUCAAUAUGCCUGUUUGCCAUCUGUAUGUUUUCUUUUGAGAAAUGUCUAUUCAGAUCUUUUGCCCAUUUUUGGUUGGAUUAUUAGAUUUUUUUCUAUAGACUGGUUUGAGCUCCUUAUAUGUCCUGGCUAUUAAUUCUUUGCCAGAUGGAUAGUUUGCAGAUAUUUUCUCCUAUUCUGUGGGUUGUUUCUUUAUUUUGUUGAUUGUUUCCUUUGCUGUGCAGAAGCUUUUUAACUUGAUGUGGUUUGUCCAUGUUUGCUUUAGUUGUCUGUGCUUGUGGGGUAUUAUUCAAGAAAUCUUUGCUCAGUCCAAAGUCCUGGAGAGAUUUUUUCCCAAUGUUUUCUUUUAAUAGUGUCAUAGUUUCAGGUCUUAGAUUUAAGUCUUUAAUACGUUUUGAUUUGAUUGUUGUAUAUGGCAAGAGAUAGGGGUCUAGUUUCAUUCUUCUGCAUAUGGAUAUCCAGUUUUCCCAGCACUAUUUAUUGAAGAGACUGUCCUUUCCUCAAUGUAUGUUCUUGGUACCUUUGUAAAAAAUGAGUUCACUGUAGAUGUAUGGGUUUUUUCCUGGGUUCUCCAUUGUUUUCUGUUGGUCUACGUGUCAGUUUUUAUGCCAGUGCUGUGCUGUUUUGGUUACUAUAGCUCUGUAAUAUAACUGGAAGUCAGGUUAUGUGAUUCCUCCAGUUUUGUUCUUUUUGCUGAGGAUAUCUUUGGAUACUCUGGGUCUUUGUGGUUCCAUAUAUAUUUUAGGAUUUUUUUUUCUAUUUCUGUGAAGAAUGUCAUUGUUAUUUUGAUAGGGAUUGUAUUGAAUCUAUAGAUUGCUUGGGAUAGUAUGAACAUUUUGACAAUAUUGGUUAUUUCAAUUCAUGAACAUGUAAUAUCUUUUCAUUUUUUGGUGUCUUCAAUUUCUUUCAUUAAGAUUUUGUAGUUUUCAUUGUAGAGCUCUUUCACUUCUUUGGUUAAGUUAUUUCCUAGGUAUUUUAUUUCAUUGGUAACUAUUGUAAAUGGAAUUACUUUCUGGAUUUCUUUUACAGAUUGUUUGCUGUUGGCAUAUAGAAAUGCUACUGAUUUUUGUAUGUUUUUUUUGUAUCCUGCAACUUUACUGAAUUUAUCAAUUCUAAUAGUUUUUGUUGAUGGAUAUUUUUUGUUUGUUUGUUUCUUGUUUUUUGUUUGAGACGGAGUUUUGCUCUUGUUGCCUAGGCUGGAGUGCAAUAGCGCCAUAUUAGCUCACUGCAACCUCCACCUCCAGGUUCAAGCAAUUCUCCUGCCUCAGCCUUUCAAGCAGCUGGGAUUACAGGCACCCGCCACCACACCCAGCCAAUUGUUUGUAUGUUUAGUAGAGAUGGGGUUUCACUGUGUUGGCCAGACUGGUCUUGAACUCCUGACCUCAGAUGAUCCACCCACCUCGGCCUCUCAAAGUGCUGGGAUUACAGGUGUGAGCCACCAUGCCUGGCUGAUAUUUACUUUUUUAAACAUUUAAUUGUUAUUUUUGUAAAAAUAGAGAUGAGGUCUCACUGUAUUGCCCAGGCUGAUCUCCAAUUCCUGAGCUAGAGUGAUCCUCCAGCCUUGGCUUCCCAAAAUGCUGGAAUUACAGGUGUGAGCCACCACACCUGACCUGUUGAUGGAUAUUUAGUUUGCUUCCACCUUGUGACUAUUGUGAAUAAUGCUGCAGUGAACAUAGGUAUGGAAAUAUCUCUUCAAAAUCCUAUUUUUAAUUCUUUUAGUUAUAUACUUAGAAAUGGGAUUGCUGGAUCAUGCAGUAGUUUUAGUUUUAAUCCCCUACCUGUAUUUCCUGGAUUCAUCACCCAAAUAAACUAUAUGCUCCAAGCCUUUGUCUCGGUAUGUGCUUCUGGCAGGAACCUAAGCUUAAGCUUGUCACUUGCUUCAGGUUACUCAGUCAAUAAGUGGCUCUUCUGAAUAUCUAUUGCUGUAAAAUGAGCUGUCCCCAAAUCCAGUGGCUUAAAACAACACUUCGCAAUUACUUCUGCUUCUGUGAAUUGGCUGGGCUCAGCUGGGUGGCUUUCACUUGGGGUCUGCCAUGGCUGCAGUCAGGUGUUGGCUGGGGCUGGAGGGUCUGAAGGCUCGACUGGGCUGGAGGCCCACAGUGGCUCACUUGCACACUGGCCAUUGAUGGCAGGAAGCUCAGCUGAGGCAGUCUGCCAGAACUUCUGCAAGGGGUCUCUUCAUGUGGUGAGGGCUUCCUCACAACAUGGUGGCUGAGUUCUGAGCGUAGAGUCUCAAGAACAAACAUUCCAAGAGACAGGAACAGGCAACUGUUAAGGGCCUUGUCUUUAAAUGGCAGUGUCACUUGUGCCAUAUGCAUUUUAGAGCGGGGUGAAGAAAUGGACCCCCUGGUGGGAUGGGGCAAGGCCAUGCUGCAGAAGAGCAUGUGGGAAGGGAGAGAUUUUUGUGGCCAUCUUUGGAAGACACAGUUGGCCAUAGUGACAGAGGCAGUAUUCAGACCCAGGCAGUCUGACUUGAGAAGCUGAUUGCAACCUCUAUGCUGCCUCCACUUGAGAACACAUUCUGAGAAUUCUUGACGUUUCUAAGGGACUGGAGAGCCAGCAAUAAUGGCAAACCUAAGAAAUGCUAUUUUUGUUUAUUAUGACCUCUUUUUAAUGUCCAGACUGAUGUGGCUGGGUGAAUUACAGGUCUCAAGCAGAUUCCAAAAUGUAGAGACAGUAACCUUGAUGUUGACUUUUGGAAAAUUAUAGAGCAGAGCGUGACAUAAACUCAUUUGUGAACAGCAGGGAAAAAAAAUGCAGUGAUGGUGAGGUGGGAGAGUUUGGUGGGGAUGAGCUGUGCCCAGCUGUGGUGGGUGGCAUAAUGGCCCCCUAGAGAUAUCAGGUCCUAACCCUUGGAGCCUAUAAAUGUUACCCUGUAAGAAAAAUGGGUCUUUGCAGAAGUGAGUAAGAAUCUUGAGAUAAGAGAUUAUCCUGGACUCUCCUGUGGGCCCUAAAUGCCAUCACAAGUGUCCAUAUAAGACAGAGUUAGACUUGACUCACACUCAGAGAAGAAAGCCAUGUGAAGACAGAGAAGAGAAGGAUUUGAAGACACUGGAUGUGAGAAUUAGAGUGAUGUGGCCAUAAGCCAAGGAAUGCUGUAGCUCCCAGAAGCUGGAAGAGGCAAGGAACAGUUUCUCUCCUAAAGCCUCCAGAGGGAGCACAGCCCCACUGAUGGAUUGAUUUCAGUUUGGUGGCACUGAUUUCAGACUUCUGGUCUCCAGGACUGUGAGGUAAUAAAUUUCUGUUGUUUUAAGACCAAAAGUUCAUGGUAAUUAUAGCAACCACAGGCAACGAAUACACAAACCAACUUUCUUUUUAGACAGUACUGGAUAAUGGGGUAAAUAAAUUUGUGUCCAGCCAGCAUUUUAUGUUACUGUUUUUUUUUGUUUUUUGUUUUUUGUUUUUUUGUGAGACAGGGUCUUGCUAUGUUGUUUAUGCCAAUCUCGAACACCUGGGCCCCAGUGAUCCAGUCUCAGCCUCCUGAGUAGCUGGGACUACAGGCAUAGGCCACCACCCCCAGCCGGCAUUUUAAUAAAGGAUUGGCAAACUCACUGGUAAUGACGGUGUUUUUUGGUGGGAUUUAUGGCAGAUUGCACGUCUAUCAGCAAAGUGUUUGCCAUCAAGGAGUCCGUUGCCCUGGUGGUCAUGGAGUACCAAAGGGCUCUGUGGUGAGCUCUGCCCUAGCCAAUCAACGUUCAGUCCACUUUCUGGAUGAAGAUGGCAGAAAGUACAGGGUCAGAUGUGCAGGUGACACAUAUUGGAGGGAACAGUGAAAGUGACAGCCAAAUGGGAGAUGAAAGUGAUUUCGAUAGAUUGGAACUUUGGAGUAAGGCCAAGAUCAAUUGAUAUCAGAGAAAGUUAGGUUUUAAAGAGAAAUCUGGUGUCCAAGCAUAGAACCAGUUGAGGAGGUCUGGGCGGUCUGGGCGGUGUGUGUGAAAAGAAGCUCAGGGUUUCAGUCGCCACCAGCGUGGUGCUGUUUUUGUAAGGGGAACCUAAUUUGGGGCACUAUGGGACGAUAGUGUCCAGUUCAUAGAAGCAGAUGGUCCCAGGGUGAUCACGGCUGGUUGAAGCAUACUGAACUACUUUGCUUCAUUUUUAAUACCCCUCCCCUUUUUGAAAAUGUGUAGCAGGACAAUAUGGGAUCAGGAAACCAAGUGUUCUGACUCUGCAUUGUCUGCCCCUCCGUGUUCAUUCUCUGACCUCCUCUACUCUGACCCCAGGAGGCUGACCUCUCUGGACGAAUAUUAGCUAGCUAAUGCUGUGGAACAAAUCAUCCCGUGGAACAAAACAUAGUGGCCUAAAGCAACAAUAAUCAUUUAAUGUCUCACAGUUUCUGUGGGUUGGGAAUCCAGGAGUGGCUUCUGACUCAUGAGGUUGGCAUCAAGAUGCAGCUGGGUUUGUAGUCACCUGAAGGCGUGGCUGGGGCUGGAGAUGGCUUCCCACCACGGAUGAUGAGUUCGUGUGGCUGUUGGCAGGAGGCCUCAGUUUUUCACCUUCUGGACGCCUGCACAGGGCUGCUUAAGCAGCCUCACAACAUGGCAGCUGACUCUCGCCAUCGUGAGUGAUUCAAGAGAGAGCAAGAUGGAAGCCGCAAUAUCUAUGAUGACCUGGUCACAGUCUGUCAUUUCCACAACUGGUAACACAGGUCAGCCCUAUUUAAUGUGGGAGGGGACUACAUGAGGGCAGGAUUGCCAGGAGGUGGGGUGCAUCUGGAAGGCUGGCUGCCACAGGAACAGUGGGAGGGGAUGUGCUGUGGCCAGAAGAAAAUCAGGACAGACCAGAGCUGGAGGGUAUGAUCUGCCCCAACUCAGGUUGGCCAAGUUCAAGCCCCAGUUCCGGG
rnacentral:lncRNA from 1 species